GCCCUAAAAAGACAAAAAUAAAUUUAAAAAAAUAAAAUGGUUGUUGAAUGAAUAAACAUGAAUGAAUGAAUGGUUUCAGUAUUUCCUGAAAUCUGACCUCCAACCCCACCCCCUGAAGUAGUUACCCAAAGGCAGAAUACAUUACAAGCACUCCCUCCAGUGCUCGGGUUUUAAGCUCUGUGGUAGAGCCUCAAGGUAGUGUUGGGGUGAGGCCCUAAUCUCUGCGGUUGAACCAAAAGUAUUAUGCAAACAAGCCACAAAUGAUUGGUCUGCAACGGAGACCUGAGGGGGGCCUCCCCGCCUCUCCCCAUUCCUGCUCAGCUGCUAAAACCCUGUCCCAGCAAACCCAGGCUGGGCACCUGUCAAGAACAGAGGACCGACACUGGGGAGCCAGAAGAGGGGAGCUUCUUGCUCCAUGGGAGUCUCAGCCCAGACACUAGUCCAUCUUUAGCCUUUUCUUCCCUGGAGCUUAGUCUAUCCCCAACAAUUCUCUCCCCCACUCUUCCUCCCAUCUCCCACCACCACCUUCAUUCCCUCCAUGGCUUCCUAAUAGUUAUAGUGCGGGGUGAGAGGUACCCAAAACCUCCUAUCACCUGAUUUCAGCUCCUUGGCCAGAGAAGCUGUAGCCACCUCAUCCUGGUUCAGCCUGUCUCGUAGCUGCUUAUCAAUUUGAUUUUCAAUAUCUGUCACCAUCUCUGAAGUAGAAGGGCUGACAGACAACAGAAGGGACUUCCUGCCAGGGGAGGAGCUAUGAGCAGAGGGCAGCGAGAGCCCUCUCCUUCCUUGAAGACCAGGAAGAAUCGGUGAGACCCUCCUUCAGCUGAGAGCAACCCCGUCAAUCCAGGGAACCCUGGGGCAGGGGGUAGGUGUGGUGGGUAUCCCCCACAGAAGUCUCCGGACAGCCUUCUUGCUGACUCCGCCCCCUACAGGGGUGGGAGGCCCUCCCAGGGGCACUCUGUGUUCCAGAAAACCCCAAAAUAACCUGCCUUAGCUGUCCGGCUGCUAUUUCUGUCCAUCUUGUUUAAUUAUUCAAACCCAAGUUGGGGAGUGAACUAUAAAAAGCUCUCCUACUUGGGGACCCAGGAGAGCUGGGAGACUGGCCAGGUUGCAAUAGCAGCAGACCACAGGGUUUGGGUGAGGUCACUCGGUCCUGCCUCCUGCCUGAAAGUUCCAUCUGCUGUUUGCUGGCUUCCUCUGCUAGAAGACGGAAUCCAGGCCUCCCUCCCUAAACCUCCCUCAUGCCCUCAUUUCAGCAUCCCUCCAACCCUGCCUUGCCUGGGAGCUGGGCUCCACCCCCAUCUUCCUUUACUUGGGAAGUGCUUCCUCUCAGCCUCCUCCUUACUGACUGCUCCCUAGUCCUGGUUCUUAAUCUGCAGAAGGAAAGGAUCACAUGGAACCAAGGCCAGAUUCCAGAGUGGUGUGAAUCUGACAGUGUAGUACCAGGAUGCUCAAGACCUGGCAGAGCAUACGGAGUUCCCCGGCCAGGGAUUAGAUCAGAGCUGUGGUUGAAACUGACGCUGCAGCUGCAGAUCCUUUUUAACCGACGGUGCUGGGCCAGGGAUUCGCCCUGCAUCCUGGUGCUGCGGAGACCCUGUUGCACCACAGCAGGAACUCCUUCUUUCACUUGUCUUCAACAGUGGGCUUCCAAGAACACAUUUCCUUUGAAGAGGCAGGCCACAGCUAAAAGAUGUUUGAAAAUCCUCUCUGCUCCGUUAUGGAAUAUCUAUGCUAUGGAGUACUGCACAGCCUGGCAAAACAUGGAGUGAUCUGAGCCCACUGAUGCACAACAGUCUCAGAGAGAAGUUGCUCAGUGAAAAAAAGUAAGAUUCAGAGUUCCCUGGUGGUACAGUGGCUUAAAGAUCUGGCAUUGUCACUGCUGUGGCAUGAGUCCGAUCCCUGAUCCAUAGAACUUCUGCAUGCUUUAGGCAUGGCCAAAAAAAAAAAAAAAAAAAAGCAAGUCUCAGAGCAAUCUAUGUAAUAGCAGGUCAUUUAUGCAAAUAAGCAUCUCUGGGUAUACAUGCAUUAAUCAGCUACUUAAUGGUUAGUUGAUUUUCAUUCAGGGUCUCAUGCUGUCACACUCUGAAAGGGUUUAGGCUUCCUCACAUAUUUGGCACCUAGGAUGGGAGCCCUCAAGCAGGUGGAGUCCAGAAAACCUCUGAAUUUUUCUCCCUCUUGUCUGUCUUUGUGGUCUCUCCAGGAUGGGGGCUUCAGGAUGGCUAGACUUCUUACAACGUGGCUUAGGGCUCUACAAGUAUGUGUCCUAACACAGAGAGAUCCGGGAAUCAGUAUUGCUUCUUAUGACCUAGUCUUGGGUGUCGCCUAGUCUUGGGUGUCGCCUAGCACCACUUCUGUCACCCUUUACUGAGGAAAGCACAGAGGCCUAGCCAGGUUGUGGAGUAGAGGAUGGAGCCUCCACCUGGUGGGGUUUGGCAAGGUUUUAGAAGAGCACGUGGGAUGGGAAAUGUUGUCAUGGCCAUUUUUGGAAAAUACAUUUUGCCACAAAAAGUUCAUAUAAGUGAAUGCAAAUAUAUAGAAAGAAGGUCUGGAAGGAUCCAUACCAAACUAUCAAUAAACUUUCCCUCUGGGGAAAAUGGGGUGCAGAUACGUUUUACCUUACCUUCACGUGUGUCACUUGAGUCUUUUGCAUUGAGAUGCAAUAUAUGUUAUUUGUUUCAUGAAAAGGAAACUAAAGAGGAGAAGAAAGUAAAACUUUUGCUGUAAGCCUUUUGUAAUAAAAUUAUUUGGGAGUUCCCAUCAUGGCUCAAUGGAAAUGAAGCUGACUAGUAUCCAUGAGGAUGUGGGUUCAAUCCCUGGCCU